GGGAGGGGAGCCACCAGGGCUGUCAUGUGACUAGCAGGGGCGUGGCCAUGUCCAGGAUUUUGGAAGUGUGUAUUAGCGGCCCAAACAGCCACAUUCUGCUGAUAAGUGGCAGGGCUUGGCUUACCAGGUGGUGUGGCAUGAGCAAGCUCUAGGGCGAAAUUCUCUGGCACGUGAUUGGAGGAGAUGGUGACCAGGCUGUUGAGUGAUUGGCGGCUGUGGUGGCUCUGGCGACUCUCUGGAGCAGGAGGUAGAAAAUCACACAGAUUUGGGACAUCAUGGGGCUGAAUGUCAAAGCGCAACAAAAGGCAGUUUGUCCCUGUUGGAGUUCGCCUGGACAGUGCUGAAGACAAAAGCCUGAUCUGCUCUUGUGUCUAAACUUUCACAAAGACAAAGCAAGGCUUAAUUGCACACAAAUGUGCCUACAUUAUGUUUGUGUGUGUGGAAGUUCCUAAUUUUGAGCUCUCCAAAAAGGAAAACAGGAGGAAAGGCGAACAAAAACAAAACAGGUUGCAGUGCAUAAAAUGUCUGUUAGCAUACUGAAGUUACAGGCUAAACAAUGAGCUUGUAAAGCAGCUUUGUUCGGGUAAUAUCUGCAACAAAAACAGUCACACAAUAAUGGCAGCUUGUUUUUAACUAGAAGGAAAUUUUGAGGUAAUUUAAGAUUAAUGCUGUUUUGUUUACAAAUACAAAUUAUAAAAUAUUAAAAAUAAAUAGUUAAAGUCUGAGCGACAUUAAAUAUAUUAUGACAUUUGCUCCCAUUUUUGUGUAGAGGUUAGUUUAUUAAAGGGAUAUUUUACCCCAAAAAUAAAAAUAUGCCAUUAUUUAAUUAAACACAAGUUUAAAAAAAAAAAAAAACCUGCCUGAAUUUCAUUAUGUUACUUUUCAUAUUAACCAGUUAUAUUUUAUGGUGUUGUUUUGUAGCUUGACAUCC